CUCCUCCCGCUCCUUCUCCCCCCUUUCCCAGGAUUUGUCCUUCCCCAAGCUUGGGUGGAUGGAGAAGGAGGCUGCAAGGAACAGGAAGAUGCUGCGGGCCCCCCAGGCAGGCCCCGAGCUGAGGACGGAGAGCACGGAGGACAAAUCCCCCCGGCAGAGCCUGCUGGGAGAGGCCGUUUUGAAGGGCUCCCCAGCGCAGGAAGGCAGCGGGGAGGAAAAGGCCUGGAGAUGCCCC